GUAUGAAAUGUCUAACUUCUUUUUGCGAGUCCCCUUCCUCCGCUACUCUCGUAGGCUAUUCGUACAGAACACGCAAACAUGUAAAUAUAAUUUUAAAAGGUACUAAUAUGUAAUAUUUGAUAGUAAUACAUAGCUCACUGAAGCUUUUUUCAUCACUUAUUUAAAGGCUACACGGCGAGUGUUUAUUAUGAAGGAAAUACCGGAAGUACUUGCUGUAGGCAUGGAAUUUGACCACUAGAGGAACUACACGGUAACAAUGAUAGUCCUCUGGCUACUUGAAGAUGUGUGUUUUUAUCGCCCUCUAGUGGUUACAAUGAAUGAAUAAAUUCGUCAAGCCAAAGCCUCGUGAAAACAUCCAGGUUCCUAUCCCCACCUCUGAGAAAAUCUCCCUACACCUCUCGAGGUCCCUCCAAAUUCCUGGCCAAAUGAGGCCUUUUCUUUGACGAGCGACGCGAGGGCAUUCCUCAUCAGGGGGACACAAUACCCCCUUUCACCGUGGCCUGGCUCUGAAAUUUCACAGGUGAUGGGAGGAACGGUGGACACUCGAUCCUCCCUCCCCUCUCCAGUGUAACACAUCAGCCCCAGGAACCGGGAAUGUGGCUGCUGCAUGGAGAAAGAGGAAAAAUGUGGAGUGUGGAGCAAUAUCUGUUGACUGUGCUGAGAGCAUUAUUUUAGGGACUAAAGAUGCAGAUCAUUAAUAAUUUGUUGCAAUGAAAUCGUGAUGUUUGACAUAUCAGACGUGGCUCUAUCCCACCAUUAAUAAAAUGCAAGCCCCACCCCACAUAUGGGUUUUAAGGAAAGAGGUGAAAAGGGGGGCAUGGACUACUAAAACUACUAAAACUGUAAAAGAGUUUCAGGUAGCGAGAGAGAUGAAGAUGAAAGGCUGUGGCUGCCUCUGUAAGAAAUCUGAGGAAAUGACAGAAUUAGAAAAAGGCCCCUGUCUUUCUCAGCAAGGCAUUUUAAAUGCAGAGAGACCCCCCGUGGGGGAUAUUGAUGCUCCUACUUGUCAUUUAGCCAAUCCUCUCAUCCAGACACACUUACAGCAGUGGGAUGCAGAGUAAGAUUCUCAUUCCAGCCCAAAAGAAAAAAAGCUUAGCAGCCUUUCAGUGAUUUAUUGGAAAAUCAAACAGAGUCAUUAGGGAGCCGUUAAGGCUCAAUAUAGAAGCAGCGUGCUCCUUUUAACUGGAGGUGUUAGAUCUAUUAUUUUUAUUUCCAUCACUGCUUCUCUCAGAAAACACAUUAUUACUAUUUGUUUUAUUUCCAAAGAUCAUUUUGAAAGUUUUUAUGCCUGCUAACUCGACAUAUGUUACUACAGCCAGGAAACUGGUUGGUGGAAGCACUAGAAAACAAUAACAACUGUGCCACAUGAGCUGAGAUAGUAUAUGUCAACUGUAUUUCUGUAUUUAAAAAAUAGCAUUGCAUAUAUGAAGGCGUCCACUUAAAGUAACAUCCUCUGGAAAAGUGUAUGUAAGUACUUACUGCUGUGCCAUCGGUGUGGUAUUAAAACAUGACGACAAACAGCAACAACAAGCCUGUAA